rnacentral:rRNA from 1 species
AUGGCUGACCAUGGGAUUCUUCAUCAAACUUCAUGUCCGGACACCCCCCCUCAGAAUGGAGUGGCCGAACGGAAGAAUCGUCAUAUUCUUGAGGUUGCUCGGUCGUUGAUGUUUACCAUGAAUGUGCCUAAGUUCUUGUGGGAUGAUGCAGUUAUGACAGCCACAUACUUGAUCAACCGAACACCUUCCAGGAUACUUGGCAUGAAAUCUCCGUCUGAGUUGAUCAUUGGAGAUAAUAAGUUUGUUGUUCCCCCAAAGUUGUUUGGCAGUACCUGCUUUGUUCGUGAUCACCGACCAUCUGUUGGCAAGCUUGAUCCUCAGGCAGUGAAGUGUGUCUUUCUGGGAUACUCGUCUAGUCAGCAGGGGUAUAAAUGUUGGUGUCCCUCUGAAAAACGCAGGUUUGUAAGUAUGGACGUUACAUUCAGGGAGUCUGAGCCAUUCUAUGGUGAGCCGACUGAUCUCAGUCUGUUGUUUGCAGAGCUUGACCACCUACACCCUGUGCAUGAUGGUCAAGAGGGGGAGAAGGAUGUGUCUCAUACUCACGGUGAUCCUGUGGACAUUAACACUGAUAAUGAUGUGCAGGCUCAGGUUCAACCAAUAGUGGGUACAAUUCCGGUUAGUACCAUCACUGAUCAUGAUGUGCGGGCUCAUGUCGAGCCAACUGUCGAUACACUUAAGAUUGGUGCUCUCCAGGUUCCUGUUCGGGAUCGAUGGCAGAUGAAUACCCUGGUGUACUCUCGGCGGCAACGACAAGUGCAGGGGGAGCAGCAAGGCAGGGAGGCAAGAGUGCAGGGGGAGCAGCAAGGCAGGGAGGCAAGAGUGCAGGGGGAGCAGCAAGGCAGGGAGGCAAGAGUGCAGGGGGAGCAGCAAGGCAGUGAGGCAAGCUCAUCUGACACAGUGGAGCUGCCCAUUGCGUUGCGAAAACCUACACGUGAAGCGGCAAGGAAGGGUGAGGUAGCAAGGAAGGCUCUGCCAAAGGAUGAUGCUUGUGAUGACCUUGAUAUUGGCAAUUUUGUGUCUUACAAGGCUUUGUCACCUUCAUAUAAGGCGUUUGUUGCCUCUCUGCAAACUGUGUCUAUCCCUAGGGAUUGGAAGGCUGCAAAGCAAGAUCCGAAGUGGCGUGAAUCGAUGAUAGAGGAGUUAGAAGCAUUGAAAAAAAACAAGACAUGGGUGCUAACCACAUUGCCGGCAGGAAAGAAAGCAGUGAGUUGUAAGUGGAUUUUUACUGUGGAGCAGAAUCCUGAGGGCAAGGUGGAACGGUAUAAGGCUAGAUUGGUUGCCAGAGGAUAUAGUCAAACUUAUGGAAUUGACUAUGAUGAGACAUUUGCUCCAGUUGCAAAGAUGAACACGGUACGGGUAUUAGUCUCGUGUGCUGCAAACUUUGGGUGGAAAUUGCACCAGUUAGAUGUCAAGAAUGCCUUCUUACAUGGUGACUUGAAAGAAGAGGUAUACAUGGAGAUACCGCCAGGUUUUGGCACAGAACAGACUACGGGGAAGGUAUGCAGGCUGAAGAAAUCCUUGUAUGAUCUGAAGCAAUCGCCGAGGGCAUGGUUUGAUAGGUUCAGACGAGCUGUUUGGAAUAUGGGGUAUGGCCAAUGUAAUGGUGACCACACGGUGUUUUAUAGACACACUAAUAAGAAGAUCACCAUUGUUGCAGUGUAUGUUGAUGAUAUCAUCAUCACUGGAGAUGAUGAGGAGGAAAUAAAGAGAGUGAAGGGGUGUCUGAGCAAGGAGUUUGAGGUAAAAGACUUAGGAAAUCUAAAGUACUUCCUUGGCAUAGAAGUGGCCCGGACAGAGAAGGGAAUAUCUUUGUGCCAACGAAAAUACACCUUGGAUCUUUUGAGUGACAUGGGCAUGAUGGGAUGUCGUGCAGCCCCUACUCCAAUUGAACAAAAUCAUCAAGUAACAGCACAAUCAGGUGAGCUAGUGAAUAAGGAAGAUUAUCAGAAGCUGGUUGGGAGGUUAUUGUACUUGUGUCAUACUAGGCCUGACAUUACGUAUGCCGCGGGGGUGGUGAGCAGAUACAUGCAUGAACCAAGGAGAGGGCAUCUUGAUAUUGUUCACAGAAUCCUGAGAUACUUGAAGGGGACUCCGGGUAAAGGGUUGUGGUUUGUGAAGAGUGGACAUCUUGAGGUGGAUGGCUAUAGUGACUCUGAUUGGGCUAGCUGUCAAGAUGAUAGACGAUCAACUUCAGGUUACUGUGUGUUUGUGGGAGGAAAUUUGGUGUCAUGGAGAAGCAAGAAACAGAAUGUUGUGUCUAGAUCAACAGCAGAAGCUGAAUAUAGAGCAUUAUCUCAAGGGUUGUGUGAUAUGCUCUGGGUGAAGCACCUACUAUGCGAGUUGAAACUCUUGAGGAAGGGACCCUUAAGGGUGUGGUGUGACAAUCAGUCAGCUAUAGCCAUUGCUAAUAACCCAGUUCAACAUGAUAGGACGAAGCAUGUGGAAAUUGAUCGCUUCUUCAUUAAAGAGAAACUUGAUGCUGGGAUCAUCAGCCUUACUCAUGUCAGCUCUGGGCAGCAGUUUGCAGAUUGCUUGACAAAGGGACUGGGAACAAAGGACUGUAACUUGGCGUGUGACAAGAUGGGGAUGAUAGAUAUCUACCACCCAUCUUGA